rnacentral:rRNA from 1 species
GACGAACGCUGGCGGCGUGCUUAACACAUGCAAGUCGAACGGAAAGGCCCUGCUUUUGUGGGGUGCUCGAGUGGCGAAAGGGUGAGUAACACGUGAGUAACCUGCCCUUGACUGUGGGAUAACUUCAGGGAACUGGGGCUAAUACCGGAUAUGAGCACCUGCUGCAUGGUGGGGGUGGGAAAGUUUCGGCGGUUGGGGAUGGACUCGCGGCUUAUCAGCUUGUUGGUGGGGUAGUGGCUUACCAAGGCUUUGACGGGUAGCCGGCCUGAGAGGGUGACCGGCCCCAUUGGGACUGAGAUGCGGCCCAGACUGCUACGGGGGGCAGCAGUGGAGGAUAUUGCACAAUGGGCGGAAGCCUGAUGCAGCAACGCCGCGUGCGGGAUGACGGCCUUCGGGUUGUAAACCGCUUUCGCCUGUGACGAAGCGUGAGUGACGGUAAUGGGUAAAGAAGCACCGGCUAACUACGUG